UACCCUAACCGUGCGAAGGUAGCAUAAUCACUUGUUCUUUAAAUGGGGACUCGUAUCAACGGCACCACGAGGAUCAUACUGUCUCCCCCUUCCAAUCAGUGAAACUGAUCUCUCCGUGAAGAAGCGGAGAUUUAAUUAUAAGACGAGAAGACCCCAUGGAGCUUUAAACCCGAUAACACCCCUAUUUAAUUUAACCUUUAUAUUUUUUGGGCCCUGUUUACUCGGUUUUAGGUUGGGGUGACCGCGGAGUACAAAAUAACCUCCACGAAGGAUGGACUUAAUUCCUUAUCCAAGAGAUACACCUCUAAGAAUUAGUAUACUAAUAUUAAAUGAUCCGAUAUUUUAAUCGAUCAACGAACCAAGUUACCCUGGGGAUAACAGCGC
rnacentral:rRNA from 1 species